rnacentral:tRNA from 1 species
GCCUAGCUGGCUCAGUUGGUGGAGCAUGCAACUCUUGAUCUUACGGUCAUGAGUUCAAGCCCCAUGAUGGGUA